rnacentral:rRNA from 1 species
CCUACGGGAGGCAGCAGUGGGGAAUAUUGGGCAAUGGAGGAAACUCUGACCCAGCGACGCCGCGUGCGGGAUGAAGGCCUUCGGGUUGUAAACCUCUUUCAGUAGGGAAGAAGCGAAAGUGACGGUACCUACAAAAGAAGCACCGGCUAACUAUGUGCCAGCAGCCGCGGUAAUACAUAGGGUGCAAGCGUUGUCCGGAUUUAUUGGGCGUAAAGAACUCGUAGGUGGUUUGUUACGUCGGAUGUGAAACUCUGGGGCUCAACCCCAGACCUGCAUCCGAUACGGGCAGACUAGAGUGUGGUAGGGGAGACUGGAAUUCCUGGUGUAGCGGUGGAAUGCGCAGAUAUCAGGAGGAACACCAAUGGCGAAGGCAGGUCUCUGGGCCAAUACUGACACUGAGGAGCGAAAGUCUGGGGAGCGAACAGGAUUAGAUACCCUGGUAGUCCAGACCGUAAACGGUGGGCACUAGUUGUGGGGACCUUCCACGGUUUCUGCGACGCAGCUAACGCAUUAAGUGCCCCGCCUGGGGAGUACGAUCGCAAGAUUAAAACUCAAAUGAAUUGACGG